AUAUUUAUUGUCUGUGUUUCUUUUUUUGGCUUGUUUAUGCAUUUGUUUAUAUUAUCAUACUAUCUUAGUGUCAUUCAUCUUAGUUUUUUCCUUUACCUUUUCAGGGUUGAUGUCAAUUAAGCUUAUUAAUUUAGUUUGAAUGAGAUUCUUACUGUCACGGAAUUGAGGUAAUUCAAUAUUUUCAUCUCAAGAACAUACUUAACUUAGUCCAGUGUAAUAAUUUGGGAUCUAACUCUUGUACACUACGUUUCAUCAUAGUAUCUUGAUAUGGAAUACAUGUUUUCUGUUCCUGUUACGUGAAAUCCCAUAGUUAGAAUAAGAUCAGAGAGAGAGAGAGAGAGAGAGAGAGAGAGGCAAAGGAAGAUUCCUGAAGAAGAGAAGAAAAGCUUGUGCAACCUCGCAUGGCGGUCAUAGCUAACGAUAUUAAGGGAGUCGUUGCUUCUGCAAGGGAAAUGAGGCAUGCCCUACAACACUGACAAAGUAGUAGAGGUAGAGGCUAUGGAGGAGACAGAGAACAUCUAUAGAAGGAUUUCUUCUUUUUAGGUCCAUCGGGUUUGUUCAAACACCAGAAACGCCACUGAAGUGACGAUUCAUUAACAUACGAAGAGCAGAGGCUACACGGAGAUGACACACUUUGGACCGGCACCCAGCCAAGAAUUCCCAGAAAACUGAACACCUUGCCUACCUUAUUUCACAUACUCAGCCUUAGUAGGUAAACAACUUACUUUUAUGUUCUAAAAGGAUGAGGGUUUGAGUUAAUUGUUUCAAGUGCUAUUACUAUGCCAUUAUUCCUUCUAUGUUCUUGUAUUGUCUUUUUGGUUUCUCAAAUGGUUGUGAGGAACAAGGAUGCUGGUAUUUGGGGUUUCUAUUGUACUGACAGGGAAUGAUUCAUACUUGAAUUAGGUUUAUGCCCGCACUGUUUAAGCUAA